rnacentral:tRNA from 1 species
UUACUUUGGCAGAUUAGUGCUUUAAAUUUAGAAUUUAAAUAUGUAUAUAUAUAUAUUACAGGUAAUAC